rnacentral:tRNA from 1 species
GCCCAAGUGACCGAGUGGUUAAGGUGUUGGACUUAAGUUCCACUGGUUGUUUAAACCGCGCAGGUUCGAACCCUGUCUUGAGCA